UUAUUUAUUUUAUUAUAUUUAUUUUUUGUUUAUUUAAUUAUUUAAUAGAAAUAAUUUUAUUGAAUUUUGUCUUAGUAUAUUUUGUAGAAUUGAUUUUUUAAAUUAUAGUUUAUUGGUAAUGUAAUUGUUUUAUGAAAUAUUAUUUUAAAUUUUUAAAAGUAUAUUUUAUUUAUUGUACCUUUUGUAUCAGGGUUUAUCAAAAUUUUAGUAUUUAAUUUACUUGUCUCGAUUUGGGUUGAUUUAUAAAUAAUUUACAGUUAAUGUAUCAUAAUUAUUAUUAAAUUAUUUAUUGAGAUGAAAUGUUAAUCGUUUCCCAAGAUAUCUAGUUUCUUAAGAAAAAUUUUAAUUUUUUAAAGUUAAUUGUUUUAUUUAAUUUUUUAAUUAUAAAUAUUAACUUAUUUAU
rnacentral:rRNA from 1 species